UGCUAUAGAACCUACCAGGCAAGAAGGCUGUUGGCUGCUUUCUCUUGCUUCCCUGAGAACAAACAGAUGCCUGUGGUCAGGGCAGCAGACAUCCCAUACUCCAUUCCUGGGAGUUCCCUGUCAGACAAGAGGCCAAGGAGUAGGGUCAUAUCUUCCUUGGUCCACUCCAUACUCCUCUGUGGCCAGUGGAGACCAACCAGUGACCCAAGCCAGCUUCACCCUGUCCUGGGAAGCACCUGGCCUGAGUUCUUGGCCCCAGAAAGUCCCCAGAGAAAAACUCAUUGCUCUCAAAGCCAAACUCCAGACUUUUCUUUUAAUGGGCCUGACUCCCAUUUAACCCAUUGGAAUUAAAAAGGGAAAGAAAAGAGUGAAAACCAAAGGAGAAGAGAGGAGAGGGGGGUGAGGUGUUCCACCGUAUCCUUCAUCCUAGCGCGGGGUUUCCAUGCCAUGCUUCCAGGAACGCCACCUGUCUGGUCUGACAUUGAUGCCAACCACCUUUAUCUGCCACCCUACCUGUAGGGAACCUCCUCUACAUUGCUCCCCUCUGGGAAUCCAAACCACUCCACAGAAAGAAUAAAACAUCUGCUUUAAUUGCCCAUUAAAAUACAUUGCAAAUCGUUAGUAUCUUAUAAACAGAAACAUUAAGUUACAAAUCCAAGUUAAAAAGAAGUUCAGUACAAGGGGCCUGCUGUGUCCAAACUGACUUUUGUUUCCAUCCUCUGCUACUAUGGGUUCUAGAUACAGAUUAAACCUCCC